ensembl:snRNA U1 U1 spliceosomal RNA
AUACUUAACUGGCAGGGGAGAUACCAUAAUCACAAAGGUGGUUUUGCCAGGGCGAGGCUUGUCCACUGCACUCUGGAUGUGCUGACCCUGCAGGUUUUCCCAUGUAGGAACCUUGACUGCGUCAUCUGUGCCAGUGGUGGUUUGUGUUCACACUUUCCCCAG